GCCGUCACAUGCCCGGUGGUUGUGCGAUUGUUACUGCGCUCUUUCCUCCCCGUUAUCCCCGUGUUGUGAUUGCGUAGCUUUUGUUUUGGUGCUAUCGGGCACUUUGUCGUGCCGUAGUGUCUGUGACAGUGCAAUGAGCGCGAGCAACGACCACGACGUCAUGCGUGACGGUGGUAAGACUACCGCACCAAGGUUUGUGUAUACGGCCGAAGAACGCGAGCUGCUUCGCAACUUGGUGAUGCGGCACAGGUCCGUCAUCGAAAACAAAAGAACGGACAACGUGUCGAAGCGCGCCAAGGACAUCGGCUGGGAAAAAAUUACCGAAGAGUACAACAGCCAACCAGGCAUUCGUCGCGUGACGGUUUCGAAGUUGCGGAAGCUGUGGGACAAUGAAAAGACAAAGUGGAAAAAAAUGCAGUCGGAACAAAGGCGGAACUUGUACGCAACAGGGGGUGGUCCAUCGACCUGCCGGCCAAUGAGCCCGUCGUAGGGGCGGCAGCCUCGCAUAUGGCGACACGGCUCCCCAACCCCUAUGACAGCGAUGGAGCACACAUCGGCCAGCCGGUGCUGUCUCUACCGCCGGCACGCAUCUUUGAGAGCAUGGUGACUGGCAGUGAAGACACCAUGGAAGAGCUGCUCGAUGCCCUUUGCCCAGCACCACGCCCCGGGCAGCAAAAGGCUGACUUGCCAAAAAGCCAGUACAUGUCAACUGCGAGAGAUAAAACUCGCCAGUCAACUCAACAUUGUGCUGCCAUUGAAGCACUGGUUCAUGAAGGACAGUCUCUUUUUCGCAAUUUGUUUCUCUUGCAUGCUUCCAUGUACGUUGAGGAGCUGUCCCCAUCUGUUUUAUUAUCAAGGUGUUUGUGUGGUGUCAAUGUUGCAUGCAACUAGCACCUGUUAUUCG